rnacentral:rRNA from 1 species
GACGAACGCUGGCGGCGUGCUUAACACAUGCAAGUCGAACGGAAAGGCCCUGCUUGCAGGGUACUCGAGUGGCGAACGGGUGAGUAACACGUGGGUGAUCUGCCCUGCACUUCGGGAUAAGCCUGGGAAACUGGGUCUAAUACCGGAUAGGAGCCAUUUUUAGUGUGAUGGUUGGAAAGUUUUUUCGAUGUAGGAUGAGCUCGCGGCCUAUCAGCUUGUUGGUGGGGUAAUGGCCUACCAAGGCGGCGACGGGUAGCCGGCCUGAGAGGGUGGACGGCCACAUUGGGACUGAGAUACGGCCCAGACUCCUACGGGAGGCAGCAGUGGGGAAUAUUGCACAAUGGGCGCAAGCCUGAUGCAGCGACGCCGCGUGGGGGAUGACGGCCUUCGGGUUGUAAACUCCUUUCGCUAGGGACGAAGCUUUUGUGACGGUACCUAGAGAAGAAGCACCGGCUAACUACGUG